rnacentral:rRNA from 1 species
GAUGAACGCUAGCGGCAGGCCUAACACAUGCAAGUCGAGGGGUAGUUACUUUCGGGUAAUGAGACCGGCGCACGGGUGCGUAACGCGUAUGCAAUCUACCUUUUACAGGGGAAUAGCCCAGAGAAAUUUGGAUUAAUGCCCCAUAGUAUGUAUGAAUCGCAUGGUUUAUACAUUAAAGUUCCAACGGUAAAAGAUGAGCAUGCGUCCCAUUAGUUAGUUGGUAAGGUAACGGCUUACCAAGACGAUGAUGGGUAGGGGUCCUGAGAGGGAGAUCCCCCACACUGGUACUGAGACACGGACCAGACUCCUACGGGAGGCAGCAGUGAGGAAUAUUGGACAAUGGGCGCAAGCCUGAUCCAGCCAUGCCGCGUGCAGGAAGAAGCAUCUAUGGUGUGUAAAACUGCUUUUUGUACGGGAAGAAACACUCCUACGUGUAGGAGCUUGACGGUACCGUAAGAAUAAGGGAUCGGCUAACUCCGUGCCAGCAG